rnacentral:lncRNA from 1 species
AGGUGUGUAAGAAAACAAACAUUCUUUACUCCAAAAAGUUCUCUUACCAUGUUGCUAAUGUUUUUGUCACUUAACAAAUGGCAGGAGGCAGUAAUGCCAGCAAGUAAGAGAUCAAAGUACCUUGAAUCAGAGAGUUCUGAGUAUGAAAAUGUUAUUGACUUCUACAUAAGCUCAAGAAGCGAUGUGUUUGUUCCAGCCAUAUCUGGUUUGUUCUAUGCAAACACAGUUGGGAAAAGGAUAGCUUUGGGUAAGCCUCAAGUGCUAGUUCCAGCAGAGAUCUCUGAGACUUCUUCCCUUGCUACAGAUUUCAUCUCUCCUUACAUCUCAAAGAAGAACCACUUGGCUUAUUCAUGCUUUUGCUGAACCUUGUCACCUUUUCUAAAGUGAUCUCUCCAAACAUGGGCUUUCUCAGUUUUCACCAAGUGUAAGCUAUAUUUAAUUUGAUGUUUUCUCUGUUUUUCUUUAUUUAAGGUUGCCUUGUGUAGGAAAGAAAACAAUUGAGGUUUACAAUUUGAUUUUGUUGGCUUAUAUCCUUUUGCAUUUUAUAUAUUUUGUUCAAUAGUAUGAAACACACAAUAUUUGUUUGUAAGACUGAUUUUAGUGUGGAGGGUUUCUGAUGAAGGAAGAAUAACCAUGUGAUCUUUUACUAUGUCCAUUGGUCCUUAAAUCUAGUGAUGCCAUGUGAAAAGUAGAUUGAGCUUGUUUACAGACAGAGAGCAAAGAGUUGUGGUUGGUAUGAACACAGAGAAUCCUCCAUGUUAAACAACACUUUUUGAAAACCCAAAGACUGAGCCAAACUCCCAUUAGUACAACCCCAAAUCAAAUUCAAUUCAAAGUUGCACCUUUACAUCAUACAAAAAAAAAUCUGAAAAAAGGGACAAAAGAAUUGGAUACAUUUGUAAUAUACUAUUACCAUUUAAAAGAAAGAAAGAAAGGUUUAGCCAUUGUCACUUGUUAUUGCUUCUGUAGUUGCAGUAUGAGGAAGAUGAAUAUCUCUAGUAAUGUGUUUAUGCACUUCUUGAGGCUCUGUAUUUACGGAAGGGUUUCUUGAAGUAGACGCUCAUCGGAGUCCUGGGUACAGGAAUCAGCUUCCCAACAACUGCUAGUGGCCAGCUGCAGAGAGACAACAAAUUAGUGAUAUUUAUGGUUUCUACAUUUCAUUUCAAGUUGGAAAAAAAUGGACAUACCUGACAAGUCCAAUAACAAUAGAAGCAAGCCAUAGCUGCCAACUCAGUGCAACUGUAUGAGCAAACUCUCCAAGGAAAGUAACAAUGAUUAUCUGCAUUUUCAACCACAAGAGUUUACUAUCAUAUGCUAUCAAGUGUCAAAAGACUUUUGUGUUAUUGUCUUACCUGAAGUACAAAAGUGACUCCAACAAUUGCAACAAAGAGAGGGUUCUUAGAUACUCCACUGAAAACAUUCAUUUCAUCAGGUUUCCUUGCGUUGAACUCGUUGAAUAUCUGAAAGACUUGCAUGAUUAAACCCAAUUCCAUAUGAUUUAAAGAAUAAGGAGAUGAUAAAGAGGAGAUGGUUUGCUUACUUGACACAUAACAAAUGCAUUGAAUAUCAUAGUGUUCUUCACUUCCACAGCAUGUGCAUGGUUGCUGUCUUGGCUCAAGCCAAGCACGCUCAAGCCUGCAAAGUUAAGAACUAGGAGGACAGCCACUUGGUAAAAUGACUGCAACAUCCCCCAAAAUUAUAAUUUCAGCAAUAUGCACUCUACAAAAUGUUUUAGUAAUAAAUCAACAUCGACCUUAGAAUCGAAGCACUCGAGAAGAAAAAUUGUCAUUCAACUGGUGUGGGAGGGUCCAAGACUUGUUACAACGCACAAGAGAUUGCUGUGUUCUUGAGGAAGCUUGGAUUUGCUGGUGACACAACCAUCUAUCUGACUCAGCCUAGAUGGGACAGUAGCCUCAAUAUCCUUAAGGAUAUCUUCCCAAAAACGUUUACAAAGGUGUGUAAGAAAACAAACAUUCUUUACUCCAAAAAGUUCUCUUACCAUGUUGCUAAUGUUUUUGUCACUUAACAAAUGGCAGGAGGCAGUAAUGCCAGCAAGUAAGAGAUCAAAGUACCUUGAAUCAGAGAGUUCUGAGUAUGAAAAUGUUAUUGACUUCUACAUAAGCUCAAGAAGCGAUGUGUUUGUUCCAGCCAUAUCUGGUUUGUUCUAUGCAAACACAGUUGGGAAAAGGAUAGCUUUGGGUAAGCCUCAAGUGCUAGUUCCAGCAGAGAUCUCUGAGACUUCUUCCCUUGCUACAGAUUUCAUCUCUCCUUACAUCUCAAAGAAGAACCACUUGGCUUAUUCAUGCUUUUGCUGAACCUUGUCACCUUUUCUAAAGUGAUCUCUCCAAACAUGGGCUUUCUCAGUUUUCACCAAGUGUAAGCUAUAUUUAAUUUGAUGUUUUCUCUGUUUUUCUUUAUUUAAGGUUGCCUUGUGUAGGAAAGAAAACAAUUGAGGUUUACAAUUUGAUUUUGUUGGCUUAUAUCCUUUUGCAUUUUAUAUAUUUUGUUCAAUAGUAUGAAACACACAAUAUUUGUUUGUAAGACUGAUUUUAGUGUGGAGGGUUUCUGAUGAAGGAAGAAUAACCAUGUGAUCUUUUACUAUGUCCAUUGGUCCUUAAAUCUAGUGAUGCCAUGUGAAAAGUAGAUUGAGCUUGUUUACAGACAGAGAGCAAAGAGUUGUGG